rnacentral:lncRNA from 1 species
CAGGACGAUUGAAACACGUCAUGGAGAAAACAGAACUGAAUGGAUUGUCCUGCUGCCUUUUUGACCAAGUUAAUUCAAUUUGGGGGUCAAUCCAGUUUGAGUGAAUGGACCAGUAGACUGGGAAUGAAGGUUGCUCCUCUGUCAUGUCUUCAUAGAUCCAGCUAGCCUUCAUUCAUCACCUUGUCAUCGCAAUUCCAACGGGAUCACUUAUAAUUGGCCAUUGUCUCUCAUUGCCGUUAUUUCAGGUGUCUUUCCAGUCAUAUUAAAAUAUUAUAUCUUAUGCUUCUUUGUCUUCCACAGAUGUGAUGCUGAACGUACAGGAGGUAGACACUAACAUCUCGUUGAUUAUUACUCAGCAGAGCUUGAUGAUGGAGAGUGCUGAUUCUAGAACCAGACUGCCUGAUUGGGAAUUCUGGUUCUGCCAGGUGCUAGCCAUGUGACUUGAACAGUUACUCACAGUCUUCCUUCGUAUUCCUAUCUGAAAAAUGGGAAUAACAGUCGCACUUACCACACAGAGUCGUGAAGACUACAUCAAUAAUCGUAUAGCGCUUAGAACAGCGCCUCCAUAUGGCUUAAAAAUUAAGAGCAUUUUUACAAAACUGGAGCUGGAGCAAUCUGACAAAUAAAACAGCAAGUGAACGAAAGUGAAUGCUCCAAGGACGAUCUUCAUCUAUUGAAAGAGGAAUGUCAAUCCAUUAUCCAUUUCCACUAGGAAUUGUAUUCAAGCUUUAUGAAUGUUUGAAAACAGUAACUCAGUUGUUUUCUAGUUUCAAGUUAAUGUUAAUAUUUAGUAAGACUUCAAGAAGACUAUAUGUCAAAGAUAUCUCAAAAAAGUUAUUAAAAAGAACAAAAGUUGUUCAAGAACAAAAACAUAACCCAUUAGAAGCCUAUGAGUAUAUUAUGUACUAUAUGCGAACAUAUUAGAAACUUUAACGAGAAGAACUAACGUGUUCCAUUUGUGAAAGCUUAGAAUUGACUCCAAUAAAAAAGAAUAAAAAGUCA